AUGGUCGUGGCCUCCUCCUCCUCCUCCCAUGUCCUUGCAGCUGCGGCCACUCUCUUCACCCUGAGAGCGGUGGCGGCAUCCGGCGGCAACGGCAGCGCCACCCUUGCCUUGUGCGUCCACGUCGACGGCGUGCACUCGAGCCCGGACUCCCCGUUUUACGGCGGCUUCGGCUACAGUCUGUCACAGGUUGUGGAGGCAGCUAGCGCGUCCGACAGAUUGUCCAGUGUGACGCGCUACGAUCAAAGAAGGGUCACCACCACCACCGGCCCGGACCGCGCGGACGAGUAUGCGCUCGCGCAGUGCCGGCCCGACGUGCCGGCCGACGAGUGCUUGCGCUGCCUCAAUGCCUGCCUUGGCACACUUGACACCCGCUGCGACUCCGCCGCGGUGCGCUAUGACAGCUGCCUCCUCCGCUCCAGUCCACACAACUUCAGCAGCUUCGAUGUCAAUGAGUACACGGUGGCCGUGUUCGACGGCAACGCGCCUAGCCUCCCGAAGAAGGUGCCUACCGGCUUGCUCGGCAAGGUGGCAGCCAACGCCACCGCGAACAGAUCCAGGACCGCUGCAGGGAUAGCGGACUACCCAGAUGCAGCGGCAACCGGCGGCCGUGGCCCUGCGAGUGUCUACGGGCUGGCCCAGUGCAUCACCCAGAUGACGGCGCAGGACUGCGGCAGCUGUCUCCGCGGCGCGCUGUCACGCCUCUCCGACGAGUUCAACUCCAGUGCCGGGAUGCAGGUCCUUCGCCCCAGCUGCAUGCUGCGGUACGCGGGCUCUCCCUUCUUCAACGCGUCCCUCCUGCCCGUGACCCAUGUCGCCGUCCCAGAGGGCGACGGCGCCGCGGCUCCGGAAGGAAGCAAUUCCCUUCCGCAGAGCAAAGAUCGAGUCAAGGUGAUCGCACUUUCUUGUUUUGCGGGCGGGGCUGCUAUACUCGCACUAAUCCUAGUAGCAUUGUGGAGCAAACGGAGAGGCCGGAAAUCAAAGAGUGCCACGGGGGGUGGUAACUACAGCUACCAAACUCUGGUGAAUGCCACUGCUAACUUCUCCGAGGAAAAUCGGUUAGGAUCUGGUGGAUGCGGCGUAGUAUACAAGGGAAUACUGGAGAACAAGAAAGAAAUAGCCAUAAAAAAACUUGCGAGAAAAAAUCUGAAAGAGCUGGAAAGGGAGGUUUCUCUGGUUGCGGAGCUUCAGCACGAGAACCUUGUCAAGUUCUUGGGCCAUUGUUUUCAGGACGAUAAGAUGUUUCUUGUCUAUGAGUACCUUAGCAGUAAAAGCUUAAGCAACUAUUUCAAAGGUUCAGGCGACUAUCAAAAACUGGAUUGGGCAAAAUGGCUCAACAUCAUCAAAGGGGUUGCACGUGGCCUUACUUAUCUUCAUCUUGAUUCUGGGAAGGAUAUUGUUCAUAGGGAUCUCAAGCCAUCUAACGUCCUCCUUGAUUCCAACUUCGGUGCGAAAAUCGCCGAUUUCGAUCUUGCAAGAGGGUACAACAGGGAGAGGAGUCAUGAAAGCACUCGUAACACGGCCGGUACUUAUGGAUACAUAGCUCCAGAGUGCUAUGCGGAAGGGAAAUUCUCCACCAAAUCGGACGUGUAUAGCUUCGGGGUGAUGGUGCUGGAGAUCAUAGUUGGGCAGAGCAUCAAUAGGUUCGAGAACGACAACUGCACCGGUCUCGUGGAACAUGUGUGGCAGCAUUGGAGCGACCUUAGAGUUGGAGACGUGCUGGACAGGGACCAUCUUGGCCUUGGGAACCAUGAGCAGAUGCAGCAAGCAUCACGGUGCGUGCAGGUCGCGCUCCUCUGCGUUCAGAACGACCGGUCCAGGAGGCCGGCCAUGGACGAGGUCACCUACUUCCUUAGCAAUGAGAUGCUUGUGCCGGAUCCUUCUGCUCCCGGGUACAUCACGGCGCCGGCCGGCAGCGGGCCGCCUGUGUGUUCGGUGAACGACGUGACGAUCAGCAUGACGGAGCCCCGAUCCUGA
rnacentral:rRNA from 1 species